UACGUAGGGGGCAAGCGUUGUCCGGAUUUAUUGGGCGUAAAGAGCGUGUAGGCGGUUUGGUAGGUCCGCUGUGAAAACUCGAGGCUCAACCUCGAGACGCCGGUGGAAACCAUCAGACUAGAGUCCGGAAGAGGAGAGUGGAAUUCCUGGUGUAGCAGUGAAAUGCGCAGAUAUCAGGAGGAACACCAAUGGCGAAGGCAGCUCGCUGGGACGGUACUGACGCUAAGGCGCGAAAGCGUGGGGAGCGAACAGG
rnacentral:rRNA from 1 species